AGAGUUUGAUCAUGGCUCAGAUUGAACGCUGGCGGCGUGCCUAACACAUGCAAGUCGAGCGGUAACAGGUGUAGCAAUACAUGCUGACGAGCGGCGGACGGGUGAGCAAUAUUUGGGAAUCUGCCUAUUAGUGGGGGACAACCCGGGGAAACUCGGGCUAAUACCGCAUACGCACUACGGUGGAAAGCCGGGGACCGCAAGGCCUGGCGCUAAUAGAUGAGCCCAAAUCGGAUUAGCUAGUUGGUGAGGUAACGGCUCACCAAGGCGACGAUCCGUAGCUGGUCUGAGAGGACGACCAGCCACACCGGAACUGAGACACGGUCCGGACUCCUACGGGAGGCAGCAGUGGGGAAUAUUGGACAAUGGGCGAAAGCCUGAUCCAGCGACGCCGCGUGGGUGAAGAAGGCCUGCGGGUUGUAAAGCCCUUUCGGUGGGGAUAAAAAGCCUUGGUUUAACACACCAGGGUCUUGAUCUAACCCAAGAAAGAAGCACCGGCUAACUCUGUGCCAGCAGCCGCGGUAAUACAGAGGGUGCGAGCGUUAAUCGGAAUUACUGGGCGUAAAGCGCGCGUAGGUGGCUUUGCAAGUCGGAUGUGAAAUCCCCGGGCUUAACCUGGGAACUGCAUUCGAGACUGCUCUGCUAGAGUAUGGGAGAGGGAAGUGGAAUUUCCGGUGUAGCGGUGAAAUGCGUAGAUAUCGGAAGGAACAUCAGUGGCGAAGGCGACUUCCUGGACCAAUACUGACACUCAAGUGGAAAGCGUGGGGAGCAAACAGGAUUAGAUACCCUAGUAGUCC
rnacentral:rRNA from 1 species